GGAACCCGGAUCGAGGCCGCGCGCGCCGCGGUCGCGGGGCUGGCGGAGGGGAAGCUGGGUACCCUCUUCUGUGCCUGCGGUUCUCUGACCCACCCACCUGCAGACGCAGGGUGGGGCGCUCACAGUGGGCACGCUGCUCUGGGGCCGGUGGGCGGAUGGUUGGAAGGCGAGGCCGAGGAGCUGGGAGCGCGGUCCACGCGGGGCGUCUCGAGGCGCCCUCGGGCUGAUGUCCUUGGCUCGCCUCCUCGCCCUCGGUCGCCCGGGCUGCGCUCUGCAUCCUAAUCUGGCUCCUUCAGAGCCCCCCUCAGAAACCAAGGGGAGGAAUUCCGCAGUUCACUUCCCACACAACCCAAAUCCUUCAUCUGUCGCCUCGGGAACACCGCAUCCUACACCCCCUGCCGCCAGCUCCUUCGCACGCCAGCCCCGAUUCUUCCCCAGCGGGUUCUGGGCCCUGACGAGGGAACCCCCCUCGCGGGGGGGAGGGAGAAGAGUUGAUUUUAUUAUUAAUAGCUGACGCAGCGCUUGAUAGGUGUCUGCAGGGCAGUCACAGUUCACGCCGCUGGAGCUGCCACACAGCAGCUAGACUUGGGCUAGGAGGUGCUUCGCUGUGGCUUUCAGAUGAAGGCCAUUUCAUAGACUCACUUCCCUCGACAGGAGAAAAGGGGACUUGAAUCCAAAGCUGCUCUUAAACCACAGAUGAUUUGCUCUGCUCGGGAGGACAAAGCGCAGGUCACAGCAAGAUAAAGGGAAUUUUGCCAAUAUAAAGAAGCUACAUUACUUAACAAGGGGAUGGGAAAUUGCAUGGAAUUCAUGAACAAAACAUGAACAUAUUCUCUUCACAAAGAAGAGCAGCUUUCUUCACGGAGUAGGUUGCAGAAUGAAGCAAUUAGUCCACUUUUGUGUUUAACAAUAACGCACCAUCCGCAUGAGCAAAAGCAGAGCAGAAAAAUCACCUCAGUUGUCUCAAGUGGCUGGGCUUCAGGACUUAAGAUAAAUUCCUUCAGCAGAUGCAAAUUACAGUGCAUCACCAGCUGAAAAAAUCAGGCACGUCAUGUCAUUUAAUUAUUUCCAAGGAGUGGACGUUGGCAUGUAGUUUUGAUUGAUACUUGGAAAAGAACCAACAAAACCCUACACGAAACAAACAAACAAAAAAUUAUACUAUAUGGCAACGCACUGAGAGAAGCCAGGUGGAAACUGGUUAGGUCACAGGAUCAGAGCCGCUUCAAGAGGGGCACGUGAGUGCACGGUGGGAGUGUGGUCAUGGAGGGCUGGCUGUUGUUGCCCUCUGAGACCAGCUCUGCACCAUUUCGUACCAAUUCUUCUCCCUUACCUCCUCUGUCUCUUUCAGGACCGAUAGAAGCACUGCAGGCAGGAGAAGGAUGGUUUACCUUUCUCAGCCUGGAAAUUAGCUUAGGCAUUUGAUGUUGAAUAUUCUGUGCCACUGUCACUGCUUGGGGUUGUAAGCACCUCUGGUGCAAUUAUGAGCUUCUGGAGGAGUUCCUGACCUCAGCCUUUGUAUGGAAUGCUCUUCCCACAGAUCUUCUUCACUUGUGUCGUUCUCUUUCCAUUCAGAUCGCAGCUUACAUGUCCCCUCCUCAGAGAUGUCUUUGCUGUCUAAAGUGGCUACCCAGCCACAGUGGCUCACGUCUGUAAUCCCAGCAUUUUGGGAGGCUGAGGCAGGAGGAUCCCUUGAGCCCAGGAGUUUGAGACCAGCCUGGGCAAUAUAGCGAGACUCCAUCUCUACUAAAAAAAAAAAAGAAAAAAAUUAGCUGGGCGUGGUGGCCUGAACCUUUAGUCCCAGCUACUCAGGAGGCUAAAGAGAGAGGAUCGCUUGAACCCAGGAGGUCAAGACUGCAGUGAUCUGUGAUCACGCCACUGCACUCCAGCCUGAGCAACAACAGAGUGAGACCUUGUCUCAAAAAAAAAAUUAAAUAAUAAAUAAAUUAAAAAGUGGCUACUCUCGGCAAUUCACCUUCCAUCACAUUUUUCAGUUUUCUUUUCUUCUUUUUUUUCCUUUGAGACAGAGUCUCUCUCUGUCACCCAGGCUGGAGGACAGCAGCACAAUCCCAGCUCACCACAACCUCGGCCUCCUGGGUUCAAGCAGUUCUUGUGCCUCCGCCUCCCAAGUAGCUGGGACUACAGGUGCACGCCACCAUGCCUGCCUCAUUUUUGUAUUUUUAGUAGAGAUGGGGUUUCACCAUGUUGGCCAGGCUGGCUUCGAACUGACCUCAGGUAAUCUGCCUGCCUCGGCCUCCCAAAGUGCUGGGAUUACAGGCAUGAGCCACCGUGCCCGGUCAGUUUUCUUCACAGUGCUUACUUGUGAUGUUGUAUUUUGGUUUAGCUGUUAACUGCUUGUCUCCUAGUGUCUCAUGGAGCUCUAGGACAGAAGCUCCAUAAGAACAGGGCCUGUCCAUCUUGUCCAUCCUCAGUACAAAGAACAGUCCCUAGUCUAUGCUCCUCAUUUAUUAAAUGCCUGCUGUUUGAAUGAAUGAAUUAGUCCCACCAUCCCUAGCCCAUAAGUGACUUGCAAAGGGCCUCCCCCAUAGGAAGGCCUCAGCAAAUUUUCAGUGAACUCAAGUUCAUUGAUUUCCAAUUUGUGAAAUAAACUAGAGGGCCUCUCUGAACUACCUGCCUCAUGAGAAUGACUGUGAAGUGUAGUCAGUUUAAAACAAACAGACAAAAACAAAGCUAGACAGCAUUACAGGUUUCUCAGAAAGAAGGAAGGUUCAAGUUCACAUUGGUACUGUUACCACGUUGCCAUUGCCCUCCUAGACUGUUCUCUGCAAGCUUUCUAUUUACUGGAGGCUGGAAUACUCUCUUAAGCUGAAACAGUGUGAUUUUAAGCCCAGAAUUGGCCCCCUUAGACAUCAUCAUAACAAUUAUGCUCUUGGUUCCUCAACCUGCUGGUGUCUCUGAAAGCUGUUGUUGAUGGGUUGCCAAAAUUUAUCAGAAACGCAGUCUCCCAAAGGCAGAAAUAUCUAGUUUCUCUCAUGUAGAAAUAAACUUGUGCUUAAUUUAUUUUAUGCAUCGUGUUGUACUUGCUUCUUGUUAAGAAGGGUUUUUAAAAGUAAGAAUAGGUUUUAGAAAUACUCUAUUUUUCAGCAAGGAUUGCAGGUACAUUCAAUCAAUUGAGGACAGGGAGAGAAAACAGAAACUGUGAUUCAGAAAGAUGGAUGAUUUGAUUAAAGAACUUCAAAGGCAUUAAUAAAGGAGGACAUUAGCUGCUAAAAGGCAAGCUGGUUUAAAAAGCAAGUUAGACAGAAAUGGACAGUGGAAAUAAGUGACUUGUAAAAGAGGCCCCAGCCAACUUCCCAAUGCUCUACAGCUCCUUGUAAAGCAGUGGAGAUUGUAAAAGGCAGUCCAUUCUGUAUUUGGACAGCUCUAAUCAUUAAAGCAGUCUCAUUCUAGGCUGGAUCCACCUCCCAUUGGCUAACUUCAUCUAUACAUUGGAUCUUGUUUAGCUCUCUGGAACCAUUCCAAAUGAAUUUCAUCCCUCUUUGGUGUGAGAUCCCUUUGAGUAUUUCAAGCUAUCUACUGUGUUAAAAAGUCUCUUCUCAGCCGGGCACGGCGGCUCACGCCUGUAAUCCCAGCACUUUGGGAGGACAAGGCGGGCAGAUCACAAGGUCAGGAGUUCGAGACCAGCCUGGCCAACAUGGUGAAACCCCAUCUCUACUAAAAAAAAAAAAUACAAAAAUUAGCCAGGCAUGGUGGCAUGCACCUGUAAUCCCAGCUACUCUGGAGGCUGAGGCGGAAGAAUUGCUUGAACCCGGGAGGCAGGGGUUGCAGUGAGCCGAGAUUGUGCCAUUGCACUCUGGCCUGGGUGACAAAGCAAGACUCCAUCUAGGGAAAAAAAAAAGUCUCUUCCCGGCUUCUUCCUAGAUCAUGAGUUUGUAAUCCCUCAGCAACUUUGUCAUCCAGUCCUAGAGGUACCCAGUACUGAAUACAAAAGUCUGGGCAUGGGGCCAGGUGAGGUGGCUCACACCUAUAAUCCCAACACUUUGGGGGGCCAAGCGGGUGGACCACAUGAGGUCAGGAGUUUGAGACCAGCCUGGCCAACAUGGUGAAGCCCCGUCUCUGCUAAAAAUACAAAAAUUAGUUGGGUGUGGUGGCAUGCUCCUGUAAUAGCAACUGCACUCCAGCCUGGGCGACAGAGCAAGACUCCAUCUCAAAAAAAAAAAAAAAAAAAAGUCUGGGCAUGGUCUUGCAGAGGAGUUGUCAUGCCCACCUUUGUGCUGGAUCUUUUCCGCUGCACACUGUAGAUUUGUGCUAACAGUCAACUCAAAAGAGAGUCCUUUCUAUAUAAACUACAGUCGGUAUAUCUCAUUGUGCACUUGCACUGUUGAUAGUUUUUAACCCAGGCACUGAACUUCUGUGUAUACUUGAAUGUUCUCAUGCUCUAGACCCAUGUUUAGGGUCUGUUCUAGUCUUUUGAGAUCUUCAUUUUCAAAUACUUUAGCUAUAUGUCCCAGCUUCAGGUUACAUACAAAUUUGAUAAGCAUGACUUCUAUGUCUCUAUCCAGUAGAACUUCUAGACACUCAUUCCAGAUUGAAAAUAACCAAUCAAAUGUAUUUAAUUGUUCAACUAUUAUAAAAAUCAACUUGACUACAGUGUCCAAAAUCAGUAAAGUGAAAAUCUUAUAAGGCACUCCCUGCCUCCUUAUCUUCUAUAAUACUUUAUUACACAGUGUUGAAACAGAUCAUUUUUCUUUUGGUUGAGUGCCUGAUGUAGUCAGCUUGAUCUAAGGGUCAUGUUAUAUGAAAACAUCCAUUUAUGUACCAAAAUCAGAACUGGCACAGUCAGAUGCUUUCACUGAGACACCAAUGAGAACUAAGGCCGUUCAACCAAGUCACAUCUGUCAUCUCUUAUUCUGGGGCACAUACUUGUUGAGUAGAAUGAUGAGAAUUGCCUGCAUUAUUUAAGUUGUCAUAUAAAGUCACUUAAGAUGAUUAGGCAGACAUUAGUCUACCACCCGCCUUUCUCUACUUUGUCCAUAAGAAGUUAAUGAGAGGACUGGCCAGGCGUGGUGGCUUAUGCCUGUAAUCCCAGCACAUUGGGAGGCCACGGCGGGUGGAUCACCUGAGGUCAGGAGUUCAAAACCAGCCUGGCCAACAUGGUGAAACCCCAUCUCUACUAAAAAUACAAAAAUUAGGCAGGCAUGGUGGCAGGUGCCUGUAAUCCCAGCUACUCAAGAGGCAGAGGCAGGGAGAAUGGCUUGAACCCAGGAGGUGGAGGUUGCAGUGAGCCAAGAUUGUGACACUGCACCCCAACCUGGGCGACAGAGUGAGACUACGUCUCAAAAAAAAAAAAAAUGGCUGGGCGCAGUGGUUCACGCCUGUAAUCCCAGCACUGUGGGAGGCCAAGGCAGGCAGAGCAUGAGGUCAAGAGUUCGAGACCAGCCUGACCAACAUGGUGAAACCCCGUCUCUACUAAAAAUACAAAAAUUAGCCAGGCAUGAUGGCGCGCGCCUAUAAUCCCAGCUACUGGGGAGGCUGGGGCAGGAGAAUCGCUUGAAUCCGGGAGGCAGAGGUUGCAGUGAGCCGAGAUCGCACCACUGCACUCCAGCCUAGGUGACAGGGCGAGACUCCAUCUCAAAAAAAAAGAGGAAGAUUCAGAGACAUUGUCCGUAACAGGCUCCAAAUCCACACUCUAGUGCUCUUUUCACAGAAAUGCAUCCACUUUGGCAUGGCUUGUGUUACUGAACACACACCAGCACCUAGUGACCACCACUUUUUCUACAUGCCCAUGAACUAUAACUUCAAUAUCUGAGAAUUUGUCAAACUUAACACAAUGUCUUUUCCAGAAUCUGCCUUCCCUGUACACCGCACGAUUAUAAGCAUUCUUUAGACGGCCGAGGGUUAAAAAUCCAACUCACUAUUUUAUGCUUAUAAAAAAGGGACUUAUAGGGAAUAGACUCCAAAUUUAGAACAGCUUGAUCCAGGUGCUCAAAGUCACUGAGAAUCUCUCUCCACCUCUUAGCUCUGCCUCUUUCCUUUUUUAUUUAUUUAUUUAUUUUGAGUUUCCCUCUUGUUGCCCAAGCUGGAGUGCAAUGGCACGAUCUCAGCUCACUGCAACCUCCGCCUCCGGGGUUCAAGUGACUCUCCUGCCUCAGCAUUCCAAGUAGCUGGGAUUACAGGUGUGCACCACUACACCCAGCUAAUUUUUUUUAUUUUUAGUAGAAAUGGGGUUUCACCAUGUUAGCCACGCUGGUCUUGAACUCCUGACUUCAAGUGAUCCACCCACCUCGGCCUCCAAAAGUGCUGGGAUUACAGGCAUGAGCCACUGCGCCUGGCCUCCUUUUGGUUUUUGUUUUGUUUUGUUUUGUUGUUUUUUUUGUUUUGUUUUGUUUUGAGACAGAGUCUUGCUCUGUCGCCCAGGUUGGAGUGCAGUGGCGCGAUCUCGGCUUAUGCAACCUCCACCUCCUGGGUUCAAGCGAUUCUCCUGCCUCAGCCUCCUGAGCAGCUGGGAUUAUAGGUAUGCAUCACCAUGCCCAGCUAAUUUUUGUAUUUUUAGUAGAGACGGGGUUUCACCAUGUUGGCCAGGCUGGUGAUGAACUCCUGACCUCAGGUGACUCGCCCACCUCAGCCUCCCAAAGUGCUGGGAUUACAGGUGUGAGCCACCGCGCCCAGCUUUUCCUUUGCUUUUUACUCUCAGGCAGUCUCUCUCCAGGUGGUGGCAGACAUGGUUCCAGCAUCUCCAGUUUCUAAUUCUCCAGUUUAGUGCUUUUGGAGCACUAAGCUGGAGAGAAAGGCCUAAGAUUUUCUCUGGGAUUUGUGCACACCCCUGGAAGCAAAGACUAUGGUCAGUGCCAUCUGAACUGCACGAACUGAGAGGGAAAGAAGUAGUUCCCUACAGUGGUGGUUUUCACACGCAUGCCUCAGCAUCACCUGGAGGGCUUCUGAAAACACCUUUUGCUGGGGCCUACCUCCAGAAUGCUCAAUUCAGUAGGUCUGGGGUGGACCCAAGAAUUUGCAUUUCUGAGUUCCCCGGUGAUGUUGAUGCUGCUAGUUCAGGACACACAUGCUGGAAAACAAAGCCUCAAAGGAAAAUCCUGCUGCUGUUAUCAGAAGAGCUGCAAAUGUUAGAUCUGCCAAACAACAAAUGUUCACUUCACUGAGGAAAGUCAAAGAUCUCACUGGUCUGGAGGAAGCAGAGGUAACUACCACAGGGCUGGGUGUGGUGGCUCACUCCUAUAAUCCCAGCACUUUGGGAGGCUGAGGUGGGCAGAUCAUUUGAGGCCAGGAGUUGAAAACCAGCUUGGUCAACAUAGCAAAACCCCAUCUCUACUAAAAAUACAAAAAUUAGUUGAGCGUGGUGGCGUGCGCCUAUAAUCACAGCUGCUCGGAUGGCUGAGUGAGGAGAAUUGCUUGAACCCGGGAGGCAGAGGUUGCAGUGAGCCGAGAUUACACCACUGCACUCCAGCCUGGGUGACAGAGCGAGACACUGCCUCAAAAAAAAAAAAAAAAAGAUGCAACUAGCACACAAUACUGAAAACCCUGUUUGGAGAUGCCCUACAUUCUUCCACUGUAGUUUGCAGUGUCGUCUGCUACACAUCCACCAAGACGUCUCCUCCAAUUCCAAGCUCCUGACACAAUGACUCAUUAUCCCUUCCUUGGGACCUCUCCUCAGGCUGUUCCUUCUGCUUGGAUCUGCCUGGUGAACCUCUAUCACCCUUCAAGAUGAAGGCUCAAAUUCCAUCUCAUCUUGGAAGUCUUGCAUGAUAGCAGCCUUCUCCAACACUUCCAUCAUCAGCGCCCCAGAAGUCUCAAAUUGCACUUUGUUUGUUUUAGACAAGGUCUCACUCUGUCACCCAGGCUGGAGUGUAGUGGCACGAUCUCGGCUCACUGCAACCUCCACCUCCCAAGUUCAAGUGAUUCUCCCGCCUCAGCCUCCUGAGUAGCUGGGAUUACAGGUGUGCACUAACAUGCCUGGCUAGUUUUUGUAUUUUUAGUAGAGACGGGGUUUCACCAUGUUGGCCAGGCUGGUCUUGAACUUCUGACCUCAAGUGAUUCGCCCACCUCAGCCUCCCAAAGUGCUGGGAUUACAGGUCUGAGCCACCUGUGCCUGGCCUCAAACAGCACUUUAUAUCACUCGAGUAUAGUAACCUGGGUUUUCCUUCCCCUUCUCUGGUUGGUCGUUUUCAACCUCCUUUUCUGUGCCUCCCCCUCUUCUACUUAACUUUAUUCUUUUUCUUUUUGAGACGGGGUCUCGCUCUUUUGCCCUAGAGUACAGUGGCACCAUCAUGGCUCACUGCAAUCUCAACCUCUCAGGAUCAAGCGAUCCUCCCACCUCAGCCUCCCGAGUAGCUGGGACUACAGGCAUGUGCCACCAUACCCUGCUAAAUUGUUUUAUUUUUUGUAGAGAUGGGGGGUCUUGCCAUGUUGCCCAGACUGGUCUUGAACUCCUCCUGGGCUUAAGCGAUCUUCCCACCUCGGCCUCCCAAAGUGCUGGGAUUAUAGAUGUGAGCCACUGUGUCCAGACUCUUCUACUUAACUUUAAACCUGGAGUGUCCCAGGGCUUAGGACCCGGCAGUCUUCCUAUCUGUAAUCUUUCCUUAGUCCCACUGCUUUAAACUCCACCUACAUAAUGGGUUUGUUUGUUUGUUUUUUUGUUUGAGACAGGGUCUCACUCUGUCACCCAGGCUGGAGUGCAGUGGCGCGAUCUCGGCUCACUGCAACCUCACCUCCUGUGUUCAAGCUAUUCUCCUGCCUCAGCCUCACAAGUAGCUGGGAUUACAGGCAUGCUCCACCACGCCUGACUAAAUUUUGUAUUUUUUGGUAGAGACGGGAUUUCACUGUGUUGGCCAGGCUGGUCUUGAACGCAUGACCUCAAAUGAUCCACCUGCCUCGGCCUCCCAAAGUGCUGUGAUUACAAGCGUGAGCCACCGUGCCGGCCCACCUACAUAUUGUUGACUACACAUUUGUAUGUCCAGAUGCAUAUACUCAGCUGCUGAUCUGACAUCUCCACUUGACUGGGUCAUGGACUCGCAUUUGAGAGUGACAGAAGGAGGGCCAGGAAUAAUACAGAGUCCUUUGAAAAUUUAGAGCCAAGAAGAGCAGCAUCUUGGGCAGAAGGAAUAGCAAAUGGGCAAAUGCACAUAUGAGUAAUACUCCUUCCUUCAUGGCACUUAAUCACCCUAAGUCACUUGUUUAUUGUCUGUCCUCUUCCACCAGACUAUAAACUCCAGGAGAAUGGAAAUUGUCAGAGGCAUGUGAACCAGAGCAACUCCAUCUUGAAUAGGAGCUGGGUAAAAUGAGGCUGAGACCUACUGGGCUGCAUUCCCAGAUGGCUAAGACAUUCUAGGUCACAGGAUGAGAUAGGAGAUUGGCACAAGCUACAGGUCAUAAAGACCUUGCUGAUAAAACAGGUUGCAGUAAAGAAGUGGCCAAAACCCACCAAAUCUAGGAUGGCGAUGAGAGUGACCUCUGGUCGUCCUCGCUGCUAUACUCCCACCAGCGCCACGACAGUUUACAAAUGCCAUGACGUCAGGAAGUUACCCCAUAUGGUCUAAAAAGGAGAGGCAUGAAUAAUCCACCCCUUGUUUAGCAUAUCAUCAAGAAAUAACCAUAAAAAUGGGCAAUCAGCAGCCCUCAGGGCUGCUCUGUCUAUGGAGCAGCCAUUCUUUUAUUCCUUUACUUUCCUAAUAAAGUUGCUUUCACUUUACUCUGUGGACUCGACCUGAAUUCUAUUACUCUUUUGGGGUCUGGAUUGGGACCCUUUCCUGUAAUAGAAUCAUAUGCACUUAGAAGGCAUGCAAUCAAAACUUCUUGAAUAAAUGCAUGAUAAUUAUUUGCAAUGAGGACCUUGAGUCCUUCCUUAUCUAUUUUGUGCCCCCAGCGACCAGUGUAGUGCCAGGCACAUAGCAGAUGCUCAGUGAAUAUCUACCAAAUUAAUUAGUGAAGACCUUUGCUUCCUUUGCAAUUACUGCUCUGAAGAAAAAAAAAAAUCUUGCCAUCUUAAAAAAAAGAAAGAAAAGAAACCCAUAUAGCAGUGCCAAACAAAGUACUGUGGAAUGGUUCUCAAAACCAUAGCUCCCUGAUGGGAUAAUGUAGUUUAAAUAUAGCAGCUAUUUUUCCCUCUAGUUGGUUUGUUCUUUGAUUUUUGUGGAAAGAUUUCAAAAGUUCUCCUCCAUUGCCCUCCUUCCUCACCCCCCAAGGUGCUUAGACUUUAAAUGGUGAAAUACUUAAAAUGCAGAGAUGGCCUGGCCUCCUGAGCCUGGUAGAAGAAAGAAGAGUGAUUAAAUGCAAUUUUAAUUUUAUAGGAUGAGUUCUCUGAUUCUCCCUUCCCUGCCGGGUGCCAGGGUGUUGCUCUCACAGUAGUGGUAGCAGCCCCAAGCAGGUUGGGUUUCAGUCUGGCAGAAAUCCAAGGACAGUGCACACAGCAGAUAGGGUUGCUGUGGACAAAUUCCUAGAAUAGGAUCUUUGUUCCCAAGCUGACCAGCUUGCUCCCUUGAUGUCCCACAAUAGAAAAAAAAAGGGGGGGGGGUGUUGGUGGAGGCAUGUUUAGGUCUCCCAUUGUGAUCCUGCUGUAGUUACCUGAUAGUUCACAAAAGAUCCCAGGAGGUUGGCAGCCCUCCCAAGUUACCUUGUGAUUCUCUCCUGAUUUCAAAUAGGGGGAGGGAGGAGGACACCAUGUAUCCUAAGAGAAGCUUGUCUGACAUGCCUGAUCCGUUCCAUCUGGGAAGAUGCAUCAUGAACCCCAUCUGGCUCCAGCAGUCUGGCUAAGGCUGAGGCUGAGGCAGCCGUGGGCUCCCAGCACACCCCCACUAGCUCCAUCCCUCUCAAGCCCGCUUAUCCUUCAUCUUCCCCUGAAAGAAACAGAUCACAGCUUCUGUCAUUUGCAAGACCUCCCCUGACUCCCUAUGCCCUGGCCUUUUCUGCAAUCGCCUCUGCUUCUUCUCCAACUGUGGCUUCUCUGAUCUCCCAGCCCUCUGCAGAUGCCGUGUUGAUUGGAGGCCCUCUGCAGAUGGCAGGGCCCCUGUGAAAAUCCAGUUCUUUCACCUGAUCCUCCUGCACCACCCAGAGUAUGUCCUGAUUUGGGAGACAGAUACACCUAUUAUAAGGUCCUGUCCCGUGUCUUGCAAGCUGGAGUCUAGAGGUACUGGACAAUCGUUCCCGUUCUGUUAGCUGCUUCCCAUCUCAACCAGUAGAGCCAUGGCCUCUUUGGCCUUCAACCUUAACAUUUAAAUCUUCUCACGGGGGUCCAAUCUGCAUGGAUGGGGGAUGGGAGGAGUCUAAGAAAGCAGAGGCUUGGCUGGAGACGUUUGCAAACAUUAGACGUUUCUCUUCCAUGACUCAUCGGAGGAGAGCAGUCCUCCCUCUUCCUGGAAUGCAGCAAACCCAUGGCCAACUCCUACCCCCACCCCAUCCCCAAAAUAAAACAACCCACACCUAGAGCUCUGUCCUCAGAAAUCAGAUUUCCCUCAAACAUCUGACAUGGCAACUUGGGGGCAGGGAGCAUUCUGAGACCACAGAACAGCCUCUAAGAGGAUUCUCUGACCUGAGGGGAGAGAGGGGGCUGCAGUCAUAGCACAUGUAUCAUUAGGAUGGGUCUUUUCCAGAAAGCGCCUUCACCUUCCUGUCCUCCCCCAACCGUUCUUCUUAGUAGCCUCCCAGUAUAAAACUAGGGGUAGACAACCGACCAUUCCAGCAAGGCUUGAUUUCAUUGGUACAUAAAAGGGUUCUAGAAAAAAAAUAGGCUGGUGCAGAUAAAAAGGAAGGAAGGAGGCAGGGUGCGGUGGAUUAUACCUGUAAUCCCAGCACUUUGGGAGACUGAGGCGGGCGGAUCACCUGAGGUAAAGUGCAGUUUGAGACCAGCCUGGUCAACAUGGUGAAAUCCAUGUCUACUGAAAAUACAAAAAUUAACUGGGCAUGGUGGCAUGCGCCUGUAAUCCCAGCUACUUGGGAGGCUGAGGCAGGAGAAUCCCUUAAACUCGGGAGGCGGAGGUUGCAGUGAGCAGAGAUCAUGCCACUGCACUCCAGGCUGGGUGACAGAGACUCUGCCUCAAAAAAAAAAAAAAGGAAGGAAGGAGGCCGGGUGUGGUGGCUCACACCUGUAAUCCCAGCACUUUGGGAGGCUGAGGUGGGCGGAUCACUUGAGAUCAGGACUUUGAGAUGAGAGUGGCCAACAUGGUGAAACCCUCUCUCUACUAAAAAUACAAAAAUUAGCUGGGUGUGGUGGCGCUCACCUGUAGUCCCAGUUUCUUGGGGGGCUGAGGCAGGAGAAUUGCUUGAGCCCGGGAGGUGGAGGUGGCAAUAAGCUGAGAUUGCUCCACUGCACUCCAACCUGGGUGACACAACGAGACUCGGUCUCAAAAAAUAAAAAUAAAUAAAUAAAUAAAUCAAAAGAAGGAAGGGACAAAAAGGAAGACACCAUUUAAUAGACAUGCAUUUGCCAUGCAUGCAAUGUGCUGGGACCUUUUCACAUGUUGUCUUAGUGCAUCCUUAGGACAAGCCUGUCUGGUACGUAUCAUUAUCAUUCCUAUUUUUCCAGGUACUGAAAGUUGAUUCUCAGAGAGGUUAAGUCACACAAAUUAGAAAUCACUAUUCAAUAAACAUCUUUGGGAAUAGAAGAUUAUUUGUAGGGAGAAGAAUUAGCUUGGAUCUAUUUCUAACACCAUGAAAUGCAAUCCGGCUGGGCGCUGUGGCUCAUGCCUGUAAUCCCAGAACUUUGGGAGGCUGAGGUGGGUGGAUCACCUGAGGUCAGGAAUUUGAGACCAGCCUGGCCAACAUAGUGAAGCCCCGUCUCUACUAAAAAUACAAAAAACUAGCCAGGCAGGCAUGGUGGCAGGUGCCUGUAGAGGCAGGAGAAUCGCUUGAACCCGGGAGGCAGAGGUUGCAGUGAGCUGAGAUCGCACCACUGCUUGGGCAGCAAGAGUGAAACUCUGUCUCAAAAAAGAAAAGAAAAGAAAUGCAAUACAUUUCAUAUUGGAAAGAGUGUUAAACAUUUUUUUAAAAGUCUGUAAAACAAUGAAAAGAAGCAACAAAACUAUAUAGGUGUGGAGGUCAAAGUGGGUGGAUCACUUGAGGUCAGGAGUUUGAGACCAGCCUGGCCAACAUGGCGAAACCCUGUCUCUACUAAAAAUACAAAAAUUAGCGGGGCUUGGUGGCACAUGCCCAUAAUCCCAGCUACUUGGGAGGCUGAGGCAGGAGAAUCAUUUGAACCCGGGAGGUGGAGGUUGCAGUGAGCCGAGAUCACGGCACUACACUCCAGCCUGGGUGACAGAGCAAGACUCCAUUUCAAAAAAAAAAAAAAGUAGAUAGGUGAGGAGGGGAGAGAAAACUUCUAAGUACUUCAGGUAUAGAAACACUUUAAAUUUGCAUAAUAAAAUGUUAUAAAACAAAUGGAGGGAAUGUAUGCAUGGGGUUUUAGAAAGAAACUAGACGACUCCUGGAAAACCUUUUAAUGCUAGGAAUCUGUGAUUCUCUGACUGCGCAGAAGCACUCAGAGACCCACAAAGAUUUUUAUUAUAGCAAAUAUCUCCUCAACUGGUUCUUGGACCAGUUUAAUUUCCUGAUCCCAGAUCUGUCCCUACUCCCCGCUGUGGCAAGGGGAGAGAGGAUCAUUCUGAGUCACGAAAUGCAGCCCUGUCCAGGGUGGGGAAGGGACAGCUGCUUAAUUUGCAGCACAUGUUGCUGAGAAAAGUGGUAAAGCAGAGUUCCCCUUCCACUGAAAGCUGCACAAGGAGGCUUCCGCCAGCUGAAUGCAGUGACCUGAGCUGGAAUUCUGCCAGGACAGUGGGAUUAACUUCCCAAGUGCUGGCCAAAAAGGGCCCCGGGAUUUUUAUUUUUAUUCAUUUUCCAUUACAACUGCACAGCAACGCAAACAAGCCCCACAACAAUGUGAGCCACCAAGAGUCAUUUUCCUUUGCUGGGUGCCAUGUCAAUACCACACAUCUUGCUGACCUCAUUUUACCGAAGUUUUAAGAUGGGGAGCUUGAUUACUUACUUCCCUGCUGACGAUAAUGGGAGAAAGGCAUUGUGAUUGCCCAAUUAAAGCUGUAUGCUUUAAAGGCGAAAUAAAGCAACACAUGCACACGGAGUCCACUGUACCCAGGGAUAAUAAUUUAAUGGGAAGUCAGUGGAAAUCCAAGAAAAUAUAGGUCUAGCUCCCCAAGUCCCCUAAGAUCAGGGGCCCAGAGGCACAGGGAUUGGAGGAGAUCUGACCACAGGCAAUUAAAUGUCAAUUAAAAAGGGGGUCCAGUGGGGAGGGAAGGUAAAGGGCUUAGUGCAUUAGAACCAGGCUCCAGGCUAAUGAGACUCCUCAGAGAGGGCUUUGCACAUGUUAGACAGGGGGUGUGUUUUAACUUGUGAUUUGCCCUGUUUUUCCAGUCACAUGAUUCAAUAUUAUCACAGUCUUCAAAACAUCACCUUUUGGAAAACGUGGAGAGACAAAUUCAGAGAAUUGCAGGCACCAGGUAAUACUGUAUGCUCUUAGGCAAGCUACUUAAUCUGUGUCCCUAUUUCCUCAAUUAUAAAGAGUGGAUAAUUGAAUCUACCUCAUGUAGUUUUCGUGUGAGUUACAUGAGAGACUGUGCAUGUGAUGUGCCUUGCACGUGGCUGGCAGCACUAGUAGAGAGACAUUGCAGGCACCUUCAUCUUAGGCUGAUCUUAAGGCCCAGCCCUCCUAAAACGUAAACCAUUUGAUUUAAUCUUGUAACAACAAACAUAUCCAUUAACGUUAUGGAAGAUACAGAGACAUUAUUGAAGGUAUAGAGGCUUCAAAUUCCCGCCACCCCCGUUUUUAAAACUAAGACACAUUUCAGGCACAGAAAAAAGUACAAUAAUAAUAUAAUAAACACUCAUCUAUGCACCAUUUAGAAAUAAAACAUUAUUGUUAGAACUGAAGUUCCUUGUAUGUUCCUUGAAACUCAUUCUCGACCUUUCUUUCCCAGUGGUAACCUCUAUCCUGAACUUGGGGUUUAUCAUUCUCAUGCAUAUUCUUGUAUUUUUACUAUAGAUAAGUAUAUCCACAAACAACAAUGGGCUAGGCGUGGUGACUCACACCUGUAAUCCCAGCACUUUGGGAGGCCGAGGUGGGUGGAUCACACGAGGUCAGCAGUUCGAGACCAGCCUGGCCAACAUGGUGAGACCCCAUCUCUACCAAAAAAAAUCAAAAAUUAGCUAAGUGUGGUGGCGCUUGCAUGUAAUCUCAGCUAGUCGGAAGACUGAGGCAGAAUUGCUUGAAUCUGGGAGGUGGAGGUUGCAGUGAGCCGAGAUAGUGCCACUGCACUCCAGCCUGGGCGACAGAGCGAGAGUCUGUCUCAAAACAAACAAAAACAAAACAAAACAAUGCAAACUGUAUUAUCUGGUAUUUUUCAUAGUUUACACAAAACUUACAAAUUUUGUACAUAUCCGGCAUUUUGUUUUGUUUUACUCACUAUUAUGUUUUUUAAAAUUUUUAUUUAUUUAUUUAUUUAUUUAUUUAUUUAUUUAUUUAUCUUUUUGAGACAGAGUCUUCUCUAUCACCCAUGAGCAAUCUCUGUUCACUGCAACCUCUGCCCCUCAGGCUCAAGCAAUCGCCUCAGCCUCCCGAGUAGCUGGGAUUACAGGCAUGCCCCACCACAUCCGGCUAAUUUUUGCAUUUUUUUGUAGAGAUGGGGCUUCUCCAUGUUGCUCAGGCUGGUCUCGAACUCCUGAGCUCAAGUGAUCUGCCUUCUUCGACCUCCCAGAUUACUGGGAUUACAGGCGUGAGCCACUGCGCCUGGCCUGGGGUUUUUUUUUUUUUUGUAGGUUUAUUCAUAUAAAGCUAAAAAUACAAGUGUAGAUACAUGUAACUCUAGUGACUUCCAUUUUCUUGCUUUAUAGUUACAUAUAUAUUUAAAAUAAACAAGUAAAAGGACAGAGAAAAAGCUGAAAUUCUCAUUGUUUCCUUCCCUCUGCAGUCUGUCUUUUAACUAGUUUACAAUGUUUCCCAGAGAAAAUCAAAGAUGAAAUUUCACUUUAUCUUUCUUCUCCAAAAGACUCAGCUUUGUUUUUUUUCCCCGUUUCCAAAAUGGAUAAAGCUUCUUUUAUGGCUGUUAAAUUUUAUGCUACAGGUACCUGUAAAUUGCCUGUCUGCUCUGCACUGUGGAGAAUUUAUCUUUACAUGAUAAUCAGGUCCCAGGCUCUCUUUCCUACCAUGAAGGCUGUUCCCAUGUUGAAGACAGUGAAGGCUGGCAUUGCCAUGGGGUCUGGCACUGCAGGGAUACUGGCUGAUGACCAUUUCUCAAUUGUCAGUUUUUUUGGUUUUGUUUUGAAACAGGGUCUUGCUCUGUCACCCAGUCUGGAGUGCAGUGGCGUGAUCAUGGCUCACUGCAGCCUCGAACUCCGGGGCUCAAGCAAUUGUUUCACCUCAGCCUCCUGAGUAGCUGGGACCACAGAUGCACAGCACCAUGCCCAGCUAAAUUUUUAAAAUAUUUUGUAGAAUGGCAGCGUUGUGGGGAGGGGGUCUCUCUAUAUUGCCCAGGCUGGUCUUGAACUCUUGCGCUCAAGUGAUCCUCCCAUCUUGGCCUCUCAAGGUGCUGGAAUUACAGAUUUGAGUCAUCAUGCCUGGCCUCAACUGCCAGACUUUUUUUUUUUUUUUGAGAUGGAGUCUCACUGUGUCACCCAGGCUGGAGUGCAGUGGCGCGAUCUCGGCUCACUGAAACCUCCACCUCCCGCGUUCAAGCGAGUCUCCUGCCUCAGCCUCCCAAGUAGCUGGGAUUACAGGCGUGCAACACCACACCUGGCUAAUUUUUGUGUUUUUAGUAGGGACGAGGUUUCAUGUUGGCCAGGCUGGUCUUGAACUCCUGACCUCAGGUGAUCUGCCCGCCUCGCCUUCCCAAAGCACUGAGAUUACAGGCAUGAGCCACAGCACCUGGCCAAUUGUCAGACUUUUGAUAGAGCUUUAAUAUUAAAAGAGAAUUGAGUAAAACCUGCAGGUCAGCAGAAAUUUUUCACUCAGCCACUCCUCUUCCCGAAACCCCAUUUGGAGUAUUUCUGUUACCUUAAAGAUAGAAUGGUAUGAAUGCCCAGACAUUCAUACUACCUUUCCUUUUUUUUUUUUUUUGAGACCGAGUCUCACUCUGACGCCCAGGAUGGAGUGCCGUGGUGCAAUCUCAGCUCACUGCAACCUCCGCCUCCCAGGUUCAAGCAAUUCUCCUGCCUCAGCCUCCCAAGUAGCUGGGAUUACAGGCACCGCCACCAAGCCCACCUAAUUUUUGUAUUUUUAGUAGAGACGGGGUUUCACCAUGUUGGCCAGGCUGGUCUCGAACUCCUGACCUCAAGUGAUCUGCCCGCCUCGGCCUCCCAAAGUGCUGGGAUUACAGGCGUGAGCCACUGCAGCCGGUCAAUUGUCAGACUUUUGAUAGAGCUUUAAUAUUAAAAGAGAAUUUAGUAAAACCUGCAGGUCAGCAGAAAUUUUUCACUCAGCCACCCCUCUCCCAGAUUCCCCAUUUAAAAUAUUUCUGUUAUCUUAAAGAUAGAAUGAUGUGAGUGCCCAGACAUCUACAUAUCACCUUUCCUUUUGGUUUUUGCUCUGAGCUACCUCAAUCAUUCUAAAGCUUUAAGUUUGCUUGGGAAUUACUGUAUAGGGCUGCGGUUCACACUAGAUCAUGUAUGUUGUAUUUUGUUGGCAAUUUAAGGUACUUUCAAAGGUUGUUUGACUACAGUUAAUUUUCACCUUACUCAUAUAUGAUGUAAUUCCUUUGGAAUAAGUUUUCAGUAAAUACUAGUUACUAAUUUUGUCAUUAUUAUUGGAGAGUUGAAGUGCAUAACUGAUUUGCAAAAGUUCUGAAGAACAAAAUCCGUUUGGGGUAUCAUGGAAAAUGGCCAAUAUGUGUGAAGAUGGUGCUUCGAGAUUUUCAGAUAAUCUGUUCCAGGUGGACCAGGUGGACUGGUGAGGUUUGGCAGGGGAGCCUGCCGAGCCACGCAUGUGGGGUACACCUGCACAACAAACAGGGUUCCACCCCAAGAUUCAUUACCGAGCCAGCCCUUGGCACAUGUGUAAUUCGAUUCACCUCCUUUUUUCUUUUGUGGUCAAAAACGUAGCAUAAAAUUUACUAUCUUAACCAUGUUUAAGUGUACAGUAGUACAGUAGUGUUAACUAUACGCACCUUGCGCAACUGAUCUCUGGAACUUUUCCAUCUUGCAAAAUUGAAACUGUAUAUCCAUUGAACAACUCCCCAUUGCCCCCUCCCUUGGUUCCCUGGCAACCACCAUACUACUUUGUUUCUAAGAGUCUGACUACUUUACAUACCUUACAUAAGUGGAAUCAUGCAGUAUCUGUAUUUGUUCUUUUGUGAUUAUCUUACUUCACUUAGCCAAAUGUCCUUAAGGUUUAUCCAUGUUUUAGCAGAUGACAGGAUUUCUUUCUUUUAGGAUGAAUAGUAAUUUUUUUUUUUUGAGACCGAGUCUCAGUCUGUCGCUCAGGCUGGAGUGCAGUGGUGCAAUUAUAGCUCACUGCUGCCUUGACCUCCUAGGCUCAAGCGAUCUUAUCGAAGCCUCUCACCUCCUGGGCUCAAGCGAUCUUCUUAUCGAAGCCUCUCAAGUAGCUGGGACUAAAGGCAUGCGCCAUCAUGCCCAGCUAAUUUUUAAAAAUUUUGUGUAGAGACAGGGUCUCACUAUGUUACCCAGGCAGGUCUUGAAUUCCUGGGCUCAAGCGAUCCUCCUGCCUCGGCUUCCCAAAGUGCUGGGAUUACAGAUGUGAGCCACCUGUGCUUGGCCAUUAUUUUUCACUUCCUAAAAUUGGGAAGCAUUGCUACUUGUUAUUUUCCUCCUCUUUCUUCCAAGGAGGGAGAUGUAACUGUCAGAAGGAGUCUAUCGACCUCAUUCUGUCAUUCUGUUCUUGAGGCCACUGAAGGGCAUAAAACCGGCUCUUAGAGGCCCAAGUGCAUGGAAUCUAAACCUUUGGUGGAAACUUCUCAGUGCUCCUGCUCCUCAGGGUUACCUGCUCUAAGCAUUUAAUAUCACUGAGCUUUAAAAGGGAAAGGCCCCAAGUCAUGCAGGAUUCAAUUUCCAAGUCACAGAAGGAUGAGUGCUUGCUCAGAUCUUCCCUCUAUGCCCCAUGAAAGACCAGAAAGUUUCAGUCUUUUCUUUUUUCUUCUUUUUUGAGACAGGGCCUUGCUCUGUCACCUCAGGCUGGAGUGCUGUGGUACGAUCUCGCUCAUUGCAACCUCCACCUCCCAGGCUCAAGAGAUACUCCCACCUCAGCCUCCCAAGUAAACAAAAAAUAUGAGAACCUAGCCAGGUGUGGUAGUGGACACCUGUGGUCCCAGCUACUCAGAAGGUUGAGGUGAGAGGAUGGCUUGAGCCCAGGAGGUCAAGGCUGCAGUGAGCCGUGCACUCUAGCCUGGGCGACAGAGUGACACCCUGUCUCAAAAAAAGAAAUAAAGAAACAUGGUCAGGCUGGAACCUGUAUCAAUUAUAUCAAUUAACUAACCUAUCUUGAAUUAGCCUUGGAAAAAUGAGGUGUCAUCCCUAAAGGGGGUUCAUGAUGAACCUAAUUUUCCUCUCUGGAGCCUAAGGCUCUACCAAAAAGACACCCAGUUGGAUAAUUUGGGAAUAGGGAAAGAUAAUAGCAUCUGACUCCACAGGAAGGUAAUGACAAAUUUAUUGGGUCUUUUUUUGUCCUUAAUUUUCCCCCAUUUUGGUUUAUCGUGUACACAGCCUGCCAAUUUUUUUUUUUUUUUUUUUGAGACGGAGUUUCGCUCUUGUUGCCCAGGCUGGAGUGCAUUGGCGCUAUCUCCGGCUCACCGCAACCUCCGCCUCCUGGGUUCAAGCAAUUCUCCUGCCUCAGCCUCCCGAGCAGCUGGGAUUACAGACAUGUGCCACCACACCUGGCUAAUUUUGUAUUUUUAGUAGAGACAGGGUUUCUCCAUGUUGGUCAGGGUGGUCUCGAACUCCCAACCUCAGGUGAUCUGCCCACCUCGGCCUCCCAUUGCACCUGGCUUUUUUUUUUUUUUUUUUUUUUUUUUUUGAGACUGUGUCUCACUCUGUCGUCCAGGCUGGAGUGCAGUGGCGCGAUCUCGGCUCACUGCAAGCUCCACCUCCUGGGUUCACACCAUUCUCCUGCCUCAGCCUCUCAAGUCGCUGGGACUACAGGCGCCCGCCACCGCACCCGGCUAAUUUUUUUUUGUAUUUUUAGUAGAGACGGGGUUUCACUGUGUUAGCCAGGAUGGUCUUCAUCUCCUGACCUCGUGAUCCACCUGCCUCGGCCUCCUAAAGUGCUGGGAUUAUAGGCGUGAGCCACCGCGCCCGGUCUUAAUUUUUUAAAAUAGCUUUUAUUAUAGAAAUCCUCAAACAUAACAAAAGUGGAGAAAAAUAGUAUAAUAAACCCUUAUUUACUAUGAUCUGGCUUCAGCAGUUAUGAGCAUUUCUGCUGUCAUCCCACAUCAUCCCUCAUGACUGUAACUGGGCUUUCUAAGUUUGUUUCCCUGUGUGUCCUUGCCACAUGAUUUUGGCUGUAUCCAAGUGUUAUCUUUCUGUUAUUUAUACACCUAUUUUAUAUAUAUAUAUAUAUAUAUAUAUAUUUUUUUUUUUUUUUUUUUUUUUUUUUUUUUUGAGACUGGAUCUUGCUCUGUUGCUCAGGCUGGAGUGCAGUGGUGCAAUCAUGGCUCACUGUAGCCUCUACCUCCUGGGCUCAAGCAAUCCUCCCACCUCAGCCUCCCAAGUAGCUGGGACUACAGAUGCACACCACCACACCUGGCUAAUUUUUGCUAAUUUUUCAUAGAGACAGGGUCUUGCCAAGUUGUUCAGGCUGGUCUUGAACUCCUGGCCUCAAGUGAUCCUCCUGCCUUGGCCUCCCAAAGUGCUGGGAUUACAGGCAUGAGCCACCUUGCCCUGUCCUAAGUAAGUAUAUUUUAUUUAUUUGUAUAUAUUUUUUGAGACAGAGUCUUGCUCUGUCCCCAGGCUGGAAUGCAAUGGCAUGAUCUUGGCUCACUGCAACCUCCACCUCCCAGGUUCAAGCAAUUCUCCUGCCUCAGCCUUCUGGGUAGCUGGGAUUACAGGUGAGCACCACCACACCCAGCUAAUUUUUGUAUUUUUAGUAGAGACGAGGUUUCGACAUGUUGGCCAGGCUGGUCUCGAAUUCAUGACCUCGGGUGAUCCACCAGGCUCGGCCUCCCAAAGUAUUGGGAUUACAGGUGUGAGCCACCAUGCCCGGCCAUAAAUAUAUUUUAAAAGGAAAUAUUUAAUUAUGAAAAAAGAAAACCAGGAUUACUUGCCGUGUGUAGAAAAUUGUGAAAAUAAAUAAAUAAAUGCAUAAAUACGGUGAAAAUGUUCUUAUUUAUAAAUACUGCCCAAUGCUGGUGACUACCAGCUUCUCAUUUUGCUAAAAAAGGGAGGUUAUCUACAAGUUUAGAGAUGUUAAAAAAGUCAAGCCAGCACCAAACUGGGACUUUCUCUCAGUUAAUCAGAAGGGCUGAGAGAGGGUUUAAACAGGAGUUGUCUUUUCCUUUCUCAAAUCAGUGUUAUCUUAACACCAAGCUCCUGUAUCUCCAACAGUCACCGAGUGUGCCAUCUUCUCACAGACCUCUAGUAGCAGGAUUUCACAUUUUGGAAAACACUGUUGAUCCCAUUCUCGCUCUCCUCUGUCCUUUCUGAUUGGUACUUGUGAUGGUCGGUUUUGUGUGUCAACUUGGCUAAGCUAUAGUCUCCAGUUAUUCAAUCAAAUGCUACUCUAGUUGUUGCUGUGUAGGUAUUUUGUAGAUAUGAUUAACAUUCAUAAUCAGUUGAUGUUAGGCUGGGCACAGUGCCUCACACCUGUAAUCCCAGCACUUUGGGAGGCCGAGGCAGGAAGAUCGCUUGAGCCCAGGAGUUGGAGACCAACCUGAGCAACAUGGUGAAACCCCAUUUCUACAAAAAAUACAAGAAUUAGCCAGGUGUGGUGGUGCGCACCUGUAAUCCCAGCUACUCAGGAGGCUGAGGUGGAAGGAUCAUUUGAGGCCAGGAGAUUGAGGCUGCAGUGAGACAUGAUUGUGCCACUGCACUCCAGCCUAAGUGACAGGGCAAGACCUUGUCUAAAAAAAAAUAAUAAAAAGUUGACUUUAAGUUAAUGAUUUGAGAUGUCCUGGGUGGGCCUGAUUCAAUCAGUUAAAUGACUAUAAGAACAAGGCUGAGGCUUCCCCAAAGAAGAAAUUCCCCCUGUGAACGGCUGCUUCAGGUCCUGGCUGAGUUUCGAGUCUGCCCUUCCUAAUGGCCUGCCCCAAGGAUUUAGAAUUUUCCUAGCCAGCCCCUACAAUCACAUAAGCCAAUUCUUUGCAGUAAAUCUCUUGCCACAUAGCUCCAUCUCCUACUGGUUCUGUUUCUCUGGUGAAAGCCCUGCCUGGUGGGUACCCUAUGCACGUGUUCCGUAGCAGCUAGAACGAUCUGGCAAUUCCCAAAUGCGCCAGCUGCCUUCCCACCUCUGUGGUGUUGCCUGUUUCUCACCCCCUCGAGGGAAUAUCCGCUUCUGCGAGGCCACCAUUCAUGUCUUACAUCUUGCCUUCAAGGCUCACCUCAAGGGGUUGUCUCUGUGAAGCCUUCCUGGGGGCCUCGGGUCUGUUGUAGCCCACCUCUAAAUUCAACAGCACCGUGGGUGCUCACUCACGUGGCCUGCAGCCCACGUUUAUCUCGUUCUGACCCUGAAAGGGCUUCUACAUCUCUGUUUCUCUAAUCCUAGCUGCUUCUCUACCCGGCAAAUGUCCUUGGAUGCUUGUCUUUUUUUUUUUUUUUUUUUUGAGACGGAGUUUCACUCAUGUUGCCCAGGCUGGAGUGCAAUGGUGUAAUCUCGGAUCAGUGCAACCUCCACCUCCUGGGUUCAAGCAAUUCUCCUGCCUCAACCUCCUGAGUAGCUGAGAUUACAGGCAUGUGCCACCACGCCCAUCUAAUUUUUGUAUUUUUAGUAGAGAUGGGGUUUCACCAAGUUGAUCAGGCUGGUCUGGAACCCCUGACCUCGUGAUCCACGCGCCUCAGCUUCCCAAAGUGCUCGGAUUACAGGCGUGAGUCACCGCACCCGGCUGAUGCUUUGAGGCCACUGAAGCUCUGUCAGCAAAAGUGGAGGGCCACCUUUAGCUUCCUGCUGCACCUCAUCAUUCCUGUCCCUUCAAAUGGCCAACCUUCUCAUGGAGUGGAACACCCACCCCACCUUGGGCUGGGACAUCCCACAAGAAUGGAAGGGGGCCUCUUGAAAGGGGACUCAGUAGAGGACAGAGUUGAAAACACGAUCCUGCUGUAAGACACUCAGGAGUCAUGUCCAGGGGCUGAGGAAAGGUUCUCCUGUCCAUUCCUGAGGCUGGGCUUCCACCUUCUCCAUUUGCCCAACCUGCAGGGAGGAUUUGAAGUCCCCUCUGCCUCCACUCAGGGAAGACCUGAUAGAACUGAAUGUCCAGGCUGGGCGAGGUGGCUCAUGCCUGUAAUCCCAGCACUUUAGAAGGCUGAGGUGGGUGGAUCACCUGAGGCCAGGAGUUCAAGACCCGCCUAGCCAACAAUGUGAAACCUUGUGUCUACUAAAAAUACAAAAAUUAGCCAGGUGUGGUGCACGCCUGUAAUCCCAGCUACUUGGGAGGCUGAGGGACGAGAAUAGCUUGAACCCAAGAGGCGGAGGCUGCAGUGAGCUGAGAUCACACCACUGCAUUCCAGCCUGGGUGACAGAACUGAAUGUCCAGUAUGUGGGCCAAAGAUCCAAGAGAAAGAAAAAUCUUAAGUGGAGGAAGCAGGGAAACGGGAGCAAGUUUGGCCCUGGAGAGAGUCCCUAGAAGCGAGUUUGGCCCUGGAGAGAGUCCCUGGAGAGAAGCCUUACAGCUGGGGCCAGCAGUGAGGGUGCAGUGACUAACUGGCCAGCACCUGCUUCUCCUCAGCUCGGGGACUACACCUUCUGCCCUCUUGAUGCUCCAGGCACACAAAGGUGAUUGUGUAGCCUCCUAGAGAUGAAAGUGCAUUCCUCGCUGGCUCCAAGGACUCCAGGGCUCCUCAGUCAGGGGAGCCCAGUCAGAAGCUCAGCAGGGAAGGCCACGCCGCCUCUGCCACAAGCCUCACGGGAAAGCGAGUUUCUUCUUCUGGCCCCCGUCCCACUCUCACCUCCCUUGAGGAAAAAAGGAAUGUAAGUGUCCUGAGAAGAGAAAGCAGAGGGCAUGGGCCGGCUGGCUUGGUUUGGUACUUCCUGAAUAAAACUGUACUAUCUCCAGGACAGCUUGACAGUGCACAUUUGAGCUUCCGUUUAAGGGAAAUCUCAAUCUCUGACCUUUCCUCUGAGAUGGGGCAAUUCUGCAAGAGCCACACAGUGUGGUUGCGGGUGAGAGGGAGGAAGGAGGGGCCACAGGGACACAGUCCUCAUUAAGACUGAGGUUCUGCGGGAAAUGCUGAAUCUGAAAACAUUCUUCCCCUCCAUGAUGCACCCUUAAAGUAGCUUCAUCCAGACUGAAACUCAAGGCUGGGCAUGGUGGCUCAUCCCUGUAAUCCCAGCACUUUGGGAGGCCGAGGUGGGUGGAUCACCUGAGGUCAGGAGUUCAAGACCAGCCUGGCCAACAUGGCAAAAUCCCAUCUCUAGUAAAAAUACAAAAAUUAGCUGGGUGUGGUGGUGAGCACCUGUAGUCCCAGCUACUCGGGAGGCUGAGGCAGGAGAAUUGCUUGAACCUGGGAGGUGGAGGCUGCAGUGAGCCAAGAUUAUGCCACUGUACUCCAACCUGGGUGACAGGGCGAGACUCCAUCUCAAAAGAAAAAAAAACAAAGAAACUAAAAAUCAACACACACACACACACACACACACACACACACACAUAAGUGCUAACAGGAAUGAUGACACUGCUCUCUGUGAUAAUUAUUCAUGGAUUUACAACUGCCUAAUAGAUGCAUGAAAGAAAAAUUCAACCUCACUAGUAAUCAAGAAAAUGUAAAUCAACUCAAAGGGAUAGUAUUCCCACCUAUCAAACGGAAUUGUUUUUAAAGAGGGCCUUCUCUUCCGCCUGCUGGUGGGAUUGCAUGCUGGCUUUCUGGAAAGUCACUUGAUAACACGUAAUGAUACUUUAAAAAGAAUGACUCAGUAAUUUUGCUAUAGGAAUGAUUCUAAAGAAAUCACAAGCCGGGCGUGGUGGCUCAUGCCUGUAAUCCCAGCAUUUUGGGAGGCCGAGGCGGGUGGAUCACCUGAGGUCGGGAGUUCGAGACCAGCCUGACCAACAUGGAGAAACUCCAUCUCUACUAAAAAUACAAAAUUAGCUGGGUGUGGUGGCGCAUGCCUGUAAUCCCAGCUACUUGGGAGGCUGAGGCAGGAGAAUCACUUGAACCCGGGAGGCGGAGGUUGCUGUGAGCCGAGAUUGUGCCAUUGCACUCCAGCCUGGGCAGCAAGAAGGAAACUCAGUCUCAAAAAAAAAAAAAAAAAGAUAAGAGAUAAGAGAUGUGAACAAAGAUGUUUUAUGCAAAGAUGCUCAUUACUUCAUGAUCAUAGCAAAAGAAAAAAACCUUAAAUGUCCAACAACUGUAACUGUUCAUCACAGUAAGUCCAUACUGGAGAAUAUUACGGAGUCAUUAAAAAUGGCCAUUGGGGCUGGCCAGGCACAGUGGUUCAUGCCUAUAAUCCCAGCAUUUUGGGAGGCCAAGGUGGGAGGAUUGCUUGAACCCAGGAGUUUGAGACUAGUCUAGGCAACAUGGUGAGACUCUGUUUCUACAAAAAAAAUUAAAUUUCCGAGCAUGGUAGCACACAUCUGUAGUCCCAGCCACUCAGGAGGCUAAGAGUGAGAGGAUUGUUUGAGCCCAGGAGCUUGAGGCUGCAGUGAGCCGUGACUGCACCACUGCACUUUAGCCUGGGCAGAGCGAGACAUUGUCUCAAAAAAAAAAAAAAAAAAAAGUCAUUGGGCCAGGUGUGCUGGCUCACACCUGUAAUCUCAGCACUUGAGAGACUGAGGCGGGAGAUCACUUGAAGCCAGGAGAUCUACCUUAGAGGGUUGCUGUGAGAAUCACAUGUGAUAAUCUAUGUAAACUGCUUAGCAGAGAGUUCCUGGUUUACUAUACAACUAGGUAAGGCCGGGCGUGGUGGUUCAUGCCUGUAAUCCUAGCACUUUGGGAGGCUGAGGUGGGCAGAUUGCUUGAGGCCAGGAGUUCAAUACCACCCUGGGCAACAUGGCAAAACCCUGUCUCUGCAAAAAAAUACAAAAAUUAUCUGGGUGUAGUGGUGUGUGUCUGUGGUCCCAGCUACUCGGGAGGCUGAGGCAGGAGGAUCACUUGAACCCAGGAGGUUGAGGCUCCAAUGAGCUGUGACCAUGCCACUACACUUGACCCUGUCUCAAAACCAAAAAAAAAAAAGACUAGAUAAAUAUGAGCAAUGAUUAUUUAAUAAUGGACAUGUGGCCGGGCAUGGUGACUCACGCCUGUAAUCCCGGCACUUUGGGAAGCCAAGGCAGGUGGAUCACCUGAGGUCAGCAGUUCGACACCAGUCUGGCCAA
rnacentral:lncRNA from 1 species